rnacentral:misc_RNA from 1 species
UCCCCAAAGGGGCCCGCACAAGCGGUGGAGCAUGUGGUUUAAUUCGAUGCAACGCGAAAAACCUUACCUACCCUUGACAUGCCAGGAACCCUGCAGAAAUGCAGGGGUGCCCGAAAGGGAACCGCAACACAGGUGCUGCAUGGCUGUCGUCAGCUCGUGUCGUGAGAUGUUGGGUUAAGUCCCGCAACGAGCGCAACCCUUGCCAUUAGUUGCUACAUUCAGUUGGGCACUCUAAUGGGACUGCCGGUGACAAACCGGAGGAAGGUGGGGAUGACGUAGCUAAGCCUUC